GCCUGUUGAAUUUGCAAUUCUUCUCUUCUUGUUCCCCAUGAAGAUGACCAAAGAAACUAUAUCUCUGCACUCCCUGAACGAGACAUUAAACAGGUCACAAAGGGUUGUGUGUGUUAGUACUACAAGGAGGAACAGGGCAAGGCUCCUUUGUGCUGGGAAGGGGCUAUAGGAAGAUGGGGUGAGGGAAGAGAUGAACAGCUACUGGAGUGGUGGGUCUGCAUGAUAGAUGAGUCUGUACUUGUUAAUUCUUUAUGGGAAAUAGAGAGGGGAUCAAAAUGAAUGUAGGGGGUGACGGGUCUCAGAUCACAAGGAGUCUCUGUGUUUCUCCUUUCUCUCAAAACAACCAACCACCUGUUUUGUGAACAACCAUUUGCCCGGUUCGCAGCCAUUUACCCCUGUUACCAGAUGCAUGAGUGCUUCGCCAUCAGCCUGAAUGCAGCUGCUUGAUCCCCAGUCGUAAACUAACUCUUUUUUAAAAGUUUGAGAAUGGGCCAGCUGGGAAUUCUAAUCUAUCCAUGUUGAACAUGUUCGUGUUGUGAUAUGGUCCAGUUCUGAGCAAGUGUUUUUAGGUGAGCCCAGGACUGGUGAGCUCAGAACCCAGUGAAUGUAAAAGAGAAGGACGGGAGUGAGGGAGCCCACGGAAGAAACUUAACUUCAUGUUGCCGGGUCUCACACAAUCAUCUUAUUUAAUGUGCAGACGGUGUCAUUGAAAUAGUUCAUAUUGCAAUUAGAAGGGAAGGAAAAACAUGGUUGAAAAUGCUGCUCUAGUUACUCAAGAUGGAGAAUACAUAGCCCCUUUUCCUGAAAAGCACAUAUAUGGGAGUUCCAGGUCUGACAAUUGUGCAAACAUUAUCUAACAGGAGAGGCUUGAAUAUGUUUAAAGUUGGUGUCUGCUCAAAUAAAUGUUGUAGUAAAAGUGGCUGCUGUAAAGCUGGGAUGUACUCACUGCUGCUGGGAUGUACUCACUGGCUGGAAGAGAGAGAGCAAUUCUAAAAUAGCCUUUUUGUGCUGCAGCUGCUUGGUUCUGCCAUGCUUAAAGAACCACCUCUAGACUUGCACUAAGGUGGCAGGAGCGUUGAGAGCCAUUGAAUGACGCUGCAAACCCUGCAUAUGAUAGUACCCACGUGAAACCAGGGUGUGUAGAGGUAGUGCAGCCCGAGCAUUAGCACCUAGAGGGGAGUUUGUAGGGACUGGGAAGUCACCAGGCUGAGGAGGAAAGGAAGAGGCUGGGUUUAAGUAUUGUAGUACUACUAGAAGAUUUGCUUUGCAUUGCUGGGACUCUUAACUCAAUUUUUGUGUGGCAGAAAAUAAAAUGAAAAUGUCCAUGCUUCAUUGAAAUCAUUGGGCUAGGGAGGAGGGGUUCAGGGUGCUGGCUGUCCCAGGAAGAGAGGCUGACCUUUGCCUAUUCUCACUGCAGCAGCUUGAGGCCAGGUGAGAAACGCCCCUUCACGGCUGCUGUAGCUCCAGCAGGCAGAGCGGGAGGAGGGUGCAUGUCCCCUGGCUGGGGCAGGUCCAGGUUCAUCUGCCCCUGAGCUCCCCAGCCAGAGUGAGGAAUGCAGCAACCUGGGCACUUUCCCUUGGCUCCCUGUAAUGUUCCUAUACAAAUGGGGUGGGAGAUUCAGCCUUCCCACCCUCUUUAAAGGGUGCAUGAGGGGUGGGAGACUCAGGGCUGGUGCAGUCCCAGGCAAAGGGGCAUCCCACAGUCAACCCCUUUCACCUGCCUGGUGAUUGUCUCUCCUCUGAAGGGGUUUAGGAGAAGCAAUCCCAGUCCAGGCACAUCCCAUUGUCCUGGCACAACCAACCCCUGCCCUUGCUUUAAGUUACGAUAAGAGGAAGCUGCCUGCCGAACGUGGUGGGCCUAACUCCUGCCAUUUAGGAGUUCUUGAACAGACAGGCACACACACAUAUAGGCCAACUCAAUAUAAAGUAGAUUUAAAUAUUAAGUAGUGGUGGAUUUUAUACAGCGCUGACUUACGUGUCAUGUAGGAUUAAUUUGGGUCCUCAAAUGAAACCCCCAAGAUUAGACUGUACUUGAUAGGUCACGAAUAGCAGGUAUAGAAGCUCUCCUAGUAAGAAUUAGGGUGCAUUAAUUAUCUGAUGCAUUAAUUCAGAUAGCCUUGACAGCCUGUGAAGAAGACUAUGCGAUGGCUUCUAAAGGCACCCAGACUACAUCAAGCAACUGAAGCUCAACUGGCAAAUAAUUGCAAAAGGAGUCAGGAGGACUUCUAAGUAAAAUGGAGAAAUCUUAAAUUGGAUCUCAAGGUGGAAAACAGGCUGCAGACCUUGGAGUCUCAGUUCAAAGAGCUGAACUCCUCCAUGGAGAAACUGACCCAAAAGCUGCAGUUCCAGGGUGAAACCCUGGAGAAGCAGGUGGAUCAGGAUGAGAUGUGGACAUCCUUGCUGGAGGACAGGUAUGCCACAAAAGAAAAAGAACCAGCUUAGUUUUCACUAUGCAUCAGUUGGGACUUGGGAGACUAGAGAAUGGAGAAAUCUGUAACAUUCUACACAUGCCAGUGACAGUGAAUAGAAUCUAUAUUACACGUCUACAUUGCAUCUCUCUUGUGCAAAAGCCUAUGCAAAUGAAGCACAGAUUAGCAUAUUGCUGUGUUUCAU